ACGUAGGUGGCAAGCGUUGUCCGGAUUUAUUGGGCGUAAAGCGAGCGCAGGCGGAAUGAUAAGUCUGAUGUGAAAGCCCACGGCUCAACCGUGGAACUGCAUCGGAAACUGUCAUUCUUGAGUGCAGAAGAGGAGAGUGGAAUUCCAUGUGUAGCGGUGGAAUGCGUAGAUAUAUGGAAGAACACCAGUGGCGAAGGCGGCUCUCUGGUCUGCAACUGACGCUGAGGCUCGAAAGCAUGGGUAGCGAACAG
rnacentral:rRNA from 1 species